CACAAGCGGAGGAACAUUGUGGUUUAAUUCGAUGAUACGCGAGGAACCUUACCUGGGCUUAAAUGGGGAGUGACAGCUGUCGAAAGAUGGUUUUCUUCGGACACUCUUCAAGGUGCUGCAUGGUUGUCGUCAGCUCGUGCCGUGAGGUGUCGGGUUAAGUCCCAUAACGAGCGCAACCCUUACCGUUAGUUACCAUCAGGUUAAGCUGGGGACUCUAGCGGGACUGCCACCGUAAGGUGAGAGGAAGUGGGGAUGACGUCAAAUCAGCACGGCCCUUAUGUCCAGGGCUACACACGUGUUACAAUGGCCAGUACAAAGGGCAGCUACCGGGUGACCGGAUGCUAAUCUCUAAAGCUGGUCUCAGUUCGGAUCGAAGUCUGCAACCCGACUUCGUGAAGCUGGAUUCGCUAGUAAUCGCGCAUCAGCCAUGGCGCGGUGAAUACGUUCCCGGGCCUU
rnacentral:rRNA from 1 species